AUGAACAAGCUCCAGACCAAGAAGCCUUGGAACAUGUCCUUCUCCUUCGGGCGUGCCCUCCAGCAGAGCACCCUCAAGGCCUGGUCUGGCAAGAGGGAGAACGAGGAGAAGGCCAGGGCGACAUUCCUGGUGAGGUGCAAGGCCAACUCUGAGGCCACCCUCGGCACCUACAAGGGCGAUGCCACCCUCGGCGAGGGCGCCUCCGAGCGCCUCCACUUCAAGGACUACAAGUACUGA
rnacentral:rRNA from 1 species